GGUGCCGUGCCUGAAGCUAAGGAUCACUUUGAUAGAGUGCACUAUGAGGGUUAAAGUCCCUCCGGCCCCU
rnacentral:tRNA from 2 species